UACGAAGGGUGCAAGCGUUACUCGGAAUUAUUGGGCGUAAAGGGCGCGUAGGCGGCUUGUUAAGUCUGUCGUGAAAUCCCCGGGCUCAACCUGGGAAUGGCGAUGGAUACUGGCGAGCUAGAGUGUGUCAGAGGAUGGUGGAAUUCCCGGUGUAGCGGUGAAAUGCGUAGAGAUCGGGAGGAACAUCAGUGGCGAAGGCGGCCAUCUGGGACAACACUGACGCUGAAGCACGAAAGCGUGGGGAGCAAACAGG
rnacentral:rRNA from 1 species